CAUGUAGACUCUCUGGAUCACUGGUGUGUGCACCAAUUCCUCUGCACAGAACAAAAGAGAAUGUUUGAGAGGAAACUCUGACAGAGCAUUUCCAGGCACAACUGCAGCUGUUUUUUCACCUAUGGUUUGAUCUCCUGAGACUACCCAAAGCAUCAAAAGGGUUGUCCUCUGCUUUCAAAGCACACAGUACUGAUAGGGAAGGCUGCUGAAGAUCAACAAUCGUGUGUCACAUCUGUAUUUUGAG